rnacentral:rRNA from 1 species
AUUGAACGCUGGCGGCAUGCUUUACACAUGCGAGUCGAACGGUAACAGGCCGCAAGGUGCUGACGAGUGGCGGACGGGUGAGUAAUGCAUCCGAACGUGCCCAGUCGUGGGGGAUAACUACUCGCAAGAGUAGCCAAUACCGCAUACGAUCUAUGGAUUAAAGCGGGGGACGGUAAGGCCCCGCGCGAUUGGCCCGGCGGCUGUCAGAUUAGGUAGUUGGUGGGGUAAAGGCCCACCAAGCCAACGAUCUGUAGCUGGUCUGAGAGGACGACCAGCCACACUGGGACUGAGAAACGGCCCAGACUCCUACGGGAGGCAGCAGUGGGGAAUUUUGGACAAUGGGCGCAAGCCUGAUCCAGCAAUGCCGCGUGCAGGAAGAAGGCCUUCGGGUUGUAAACUGCUUUUGUACGGAACGAAACGGCUCUGGUUAAUACCCGGGGCUAAUGACGGUACCGUAAGAAUAAGCACCGGCUAACUACGUG